rnacentral:rRNA from 1 species
UGCGGUGACGAUAGCAUUGAGGUCCACCUGUUCCCAUUUCGAACACAGAAGUUAAGCUCAAUUACGCCGAAAGUACUUAGCUGGCAACGGCUUGGGAGGAUAGGUAGUUGCCGUAU